rnacentral:lncRNA from 1 species
AGAAAAGUUUUAUUUUUUUUGAGACAGAAUCUCGUUGUGUUACCCAGGCUGGAGUGAAGUGGCAUGAUCGUGGCUCACUGCAGUCUCUUCCUCCCAGAUUUAAGCAAUUCUCCUGUGUCAGCAUCCCAAGGAGCUGAGAUUACAGUGUUCCUGGUGUAACCUCUGUGAAAUGAAGCUAUGAAGACUCUUGACCACCAGUGAGAGAUGUGUAACCAAUAAAAGUAUGAUGAGUUCUGCUGCCUCUGCAGAAUGCAACCAGG